rnacentral:rRNA from 1 species
UGGGGAAUUUUGGACAAUGGGGGCAACCCUGAUCCAGCGAUGCCGCGUGUGCGAAGAAGGCCUGCGGGUUGUAAAGCACUUUAAGUGGGGAAGAAGGCACUUGCAUGAAUAGUGUAGGUGAUUGACGUUACCCACAGAAUAAGCACCGGCUAACUCUGUGCCAGCAGCCGCGGUAAUACAGAGGGUGCAAGCGUUAAUCGGAAUGACUGGGCGUAAAGGGCGCGUAGGCGGAUGAACAAGUCAGAUGUGAAAUUCCUGGGCUUAACCUGGGAGCUGCAUCUGAAACUGUUGGUCUAGAGUAGAGUAGAGGGAAGUGGAAUUUCCGGUGUAGCGGUGAAAUGCGUAGAUAUCGGAAAGAACACCAGUGGCGAAGGCGGCUUCCUGGACUCAUACUGACGCUGAGGCGCGAAAGCGUGGGUAGCAAACAGG